rnacentral:rRNA from 1 species
UGCAGAAUCCCGUGAACCAUCGAGUCUUUGAACGCAAGUUGCGCCCGAAGCCAUUAGGCUGAGGGCACGCCUGCCUGGGUGUUGCACAUCGUUGCCCCUGCGCCUUGGCCUUGUGCUAGGCACUGAGCGGGGCGAAUGUUGGCUUCCCGUGAGCAACGUCUCACGGUUGGCUGAAAACUGAGUCCGCGGUGGAGGGCACCGUGAUGGAUGGUGGAUGAGUUAAAGCUCGAGACCGAUCGUGCGUGUCACCCCCACUAGCUUUGCGACUCUGUGACCCAUGGUGGUCUGUUGGCCACCUAUGACGGGAACCUCAGGUCAGGCGGGGCUACCCGCUGAGUUUAAGCAUAUCAAUAAGCGGAGGAAAAGAAACUAACAAGGAUUCCCCUAGUAACGGCGAGCGAACCGGGAAGAGCCCACC